UACAGAGGCGGCAAGCGUUGUUCGGAUUUACUGGGCGUAAAGGGUGCGUAGGCGGCUAUGUGUGUCGGAUGUGAAAGCUCACAGCUUAACUGUGGAAUGGCAUCCGAAACUACAUGGCUAGAGUACAGGAGAGGAGAGCGGAAUUCUUGGUGUAGCGGUGAAAUGCGUAGAUAUCAAGAGGAACACCGGUGGCGAAGGCGGCUCUCUGGACUGAUACUGACGCUGAGGCACUAAAGCUAGGGGAGCAAACAGGAUUAGAUACCCUGGUAGUCCUAGCCUUAAACGGUGUACACUUGGUGUGGGAGGAAUUAUCCCCUCCCGCGCCGGAGCUAACGCGUUAAGUGUACCGCCUGGGGAGUACGGUCGCAAGAUUAAA
rnacentral:rRNA from 1 species